rnacentral:rRNA from 1 species
UACGUAGGGGGCAAGCGUUGUCCGGAUUUAUUGGGCGUAAAGCGCACGUAGGCGGUAUUGCAAGUCGGAUGUGAAAUCCCUCGGCUCAACCAAGGAAGUGCAUCCGAAACUGCUGUACUUGAGUACGAAAGAGGAUCGCGGAAUUCCCGGUGUAGAGGUGAAAUUCGUAGAUAUCGGGAGGAACACCAGUGGCGAAGGCGGCGAUCUGGGUCGAUACUGACGCUGAGGUGCGAAAGCUAGGGGAGCAAACAGG